rfam:Armatimonadetes bacterium CSP1-3 XT14_C0049, whole genome shotgun sequence.
CGCGAUAAAGGGCUUCCCGUCCGCGAGGGCGGUCCGCAAAGCUGUGGGACUGGGGCUUCCCCAGUUAGCCAGGCUGCCGAA